CUCCCGGCCCCCCUACCGCAGCCCGCCGGCCGGGCGGCAGAGCGCCGGUCCGGUCACCAUGGAGCAGGCGGCCGAGGUGGGGGUACGCGGCGGUGCCGCCUACUUCCGGAGGGGCAGGCUGCCCUGGUUUGCGGUCAUCGCCGUCUCCAUGGGCUACUACGCGUGGGCGGUCUUCUGGCCUCAGAGCAUCCCGUAUCAGAAACUGGGCCCCCUUGGCUCCUUCACCCAGUAUCUGGCGGAUCAUCACCACACGCUUCUGGGUAACGGGUUUUGGCUUGCCUGGAUGGUCCAUAUUUUAGAAUCCUUGUAUGCUUUGGUCCUGUGCAAGCAUCGUGUACUGAGCGCUGGGGCAGGUACGGGAUCGUCAGGUCCUACGUGGGAUUCACAGCCCAAGUGGGAGAGAGAACAGAUAUUGAAUCCCGUUUUACGGCCGAGGGAACCGAAACCCAGAGAAGUUAAAAGUGACUUACCCAGGUCGCACAAAGGGUAAAAUGGCAGAGUCGGGUUUCAAACCCAGGACCUCCGACUCCUCAUCCCCCCAGAGAGGAUCGAUUAAUUGUUGAUUCCUGGGACCUUUCAUCUACUGAUUGCACAGGCAAACUGAUGCGUUAGAGAAAAUGGAAUUUCUGAAACACGAUCCAUUUGGGGCGUGCCCCCCACGGACCAAGGAAUCUUGUUGUCUAUCAACCGACGAUAGGGAGCUAAACUUUGGAAAUACCUGUGUCUGAGUGUCGCGAUGAUGUACUGUCAUCCUGAGCCAAGGCAGAAAGGCAUCACAGACGGCCGGGCUCGCCUUCUGUGGUUCAUACAGACUUUCCUCUUCGGGAUAGCGUCUCUCUCCCUCUUGAUUGCUUACCGACCCGUUCGCCAGAAACGGAAGUAAAGCUCCGGAGUCGACAACUCACGCGAGUUUUCUGUGUUUUCGGGGCGAUGCCAUUCCUUCUGAACCCCUUUUAAAUGGAUUUUGUGUGUGACUCUCUAGGGUGAUUUCUAUUGAAAAAGGGUUUUCCAUCGUU